rnacentral:rRNA from 1 species
ACUAACGCUGGCGGCGCGUCUUAAACAUGCAAGUCGAGCGGAAAGGCCCGCAAGGGUACUCGAGCGGCGAACGGGUGAGUAACACGUAGGUAAUUUGCCCACGGAUGGGGGAUAACCUUUCGAAAGGAAGGCUAAUACCGCAUAAUACCAUAUUGUCUGCGGACGGUAUGGUCAAAGCAGCAAUGCGUCUGUGGAGAAGCCUGCGUCCGAUUAGGUAGUUGGUGGGGUAAUGGCUCACCAAGCCAGCGAUCGGUAGCCGGCCUGAGAGGGUGAACGGCCACACUGGAACUGGGACACGGUCCAGACUCCUACGGGAGGCAGCAGUUAAGAAUCUUGCGCAAUGGGGGGAACCCUGACGCAGCGACGUCGCGUGUGCGAUGAAGGCCUUCGGGUUGUAAAGCACAACAAACAGGGAAGAAUAAAGUGACGGUACCUGUCUGAAGCACCGGCUAACUACGU